GAACGCUAGCGGCAGGCUUAACACAUGCAAGUCGAGGGGCAGCAUGGUGAAACUUUCGGGUUUCAUUGAUGGCGACCGGCGCAAGGGUGCGUAACGCGUGAGCAACUUGCCCUUAUCAGGGGGAUAACCGGUGGAAACGCCGACUAAUACCCCAUAGUAUCACUUCAAGGCAUCUUUUAGUGAUUAAAGAAUUUCGGAUAAGGAUAGGCUCGCGUGACAUUAGCUAGAUGGCGGGGUAACGGCCCACCAUGGCGACGAUGUCUAGGGGUUCUGAGAGGAAGGUCCCCCACACUGGAACUGAGACACGGUCCAGACUCCUACGGGAGGCAGCAGUGAGGAAUAUUGGUCAAUGGCCGAGAGGCUGAACCAGCCAUGCCGCGUGAAGGUCACGGCCCUAUGGGUCUUAAACUUCUUUUGUAAGGGAGCAAUAAGGCUCACGUGUGGACUGAUGAGAGUACCUUACGAAUAAGCAUCGGCUAACUCCGUG
rnacentral:rRNA from 1 species